rnacentral:rRNA from 1 species
AGUGAACGCUGGCGGCGUGCUUAACACAUGCAAGUCGAACGAGAACGGGUCUUCGGACUGUCAGCUAAGUGGCGCACGGGUGAGUAAUGUAUAGUUCAUCUGCCCUUUAGAGGGGGAUAACAGUUGGAAACGACUGCUAAUACCCCAUACUCCUCUCUAUGUAGUGUAGAGAGGGAAACGAAUUUCGCUAAAGGAUGAGACUAUAUGGUAUCAGGUAGUUGGUAGGGUAAAAGCCUACCAAGCCAAUGACGCCUAGCUGGUCUGAGAGGAUGAUCAGCCACACUGGAACUGAGACACGGUCCAGACUCCUACGGGAGGCAGCAGUGGGGAAUAUUGCACAAUGGAGGAAACUCUGAUGCAGCAACGCCGCGUGGAG